rnacentral:rRNA from 1 species
GAUGAACGCUAGCUACAGGCCUAACACAUGCAAGUCGAGGGAACGGACAGCUUAGCUUGCUAAGCUGGACGUCGACCGGCGCACGGGUGAGUAACGCGUAUCCAACCUGCCCCACCGGUGAGGGAUAACCCGCGGAAACGCGGCCUAAUACCUCAUGGCCUCCGAGCUUGACAUCAACCUUGGAGUAAAGAUUCAUUGCCGUGGGAUGGGGAUGCGUCUGAUUAGCUUGUUGGCGGGGUAACGGCCCACCAAGGCUACGAUCAGUAGGGGUUCUGAGAGGAAGGUCCCCCACAUUGGAACUGAGACACGGACCAAACUCCUACGGGAGGCAGCAGUGAGGAAUAUUGGUCAAUGGGCGGAAGCCUGAACCAGCCAAGUCGCGUGAGGGAUGACGGUCCUACGGAUUGUAAACCUCUUUAGCCGGGGAGUAAAGUGAGCGACGUGUCGCUCAUUGAGAGUACCCGGAGAAUAAGCAUCGGCUAACUCCGUGCCAGCAGCCGCGGU